rnacentral:misc_RNA from 1 species
GAAAAGGGUUGAGACACUGGGUCUUACCCGAGCCGUGAGGAACCGGUUGCCUGUAGUGGGCACGGUUUGGUGCACAACAAACUUUUUUGACUGCCAGACACACUAUUGGGCUUUGAGACAACAGGCCCGUGCCCCUUUUUUGGGGGGGGGGAUUCCGGUGGCGGGGGCCGCGUGGUUGUUCCUUCCUUUGGUGGGGGGGGGGGGUGGUUUGAUUUG